rnacentral:rRNA from 1 species
AUUGAACGCUGGCGGCAUGCCUUACACAUGCAAGUCGAACGGCAGCACGGGAGCAAUCCUGGUGGCGAGUGGCGAACGGGUGAGUAAUAUAUCGGAACGUGCCCAGUCGUGGGGGAUAACGUAGCGAAAGCUACGCUAAUACCGCAUACGAUCUAUGGAUGAAAGCGGGGGAUCGCAAGACCUCGCGCGAUUGGAGCGGCCGAUAUCAGAUUAGGUAGUUGGUGAGGUAAAGGCUCACCAAGCCGACGAUCUGUAGCUGGUCUGAGAGGACGACAAGCCACACUGGGACUGAGACACGGCCCAGACUCCUACGGGAAGCAGCAGUGGGUAAUUCAGGACAAUGGGCGCAAGCAUGAACCAGCAAUGCCGCGUGCAGGAUGAAGGCCUUCGGGUUGUAAACUGCUUUUGUACGGAACGAAAAGGCGAGCUCUAAUACAGUUUGCUAAUGACGGUACCGUAAGAAUAAGCACCGGCUAACUACGUGCCAGCCGCCGCCGUAA